rnacentral:lncRNA from 1 species
GGGACAAGGGUGAUUGACAUUCGGGUGCAGGAGGAUCGUAAAGUGUGCCACGGAGUCCUCGUUACAUACAGCAUCGACGUUGUCAUCAAAGAUCUCAAGAAGUUCUUAUCAGAAACUCAGUCCGAGAUCAUCAUCCUCGAGGUUAGAACCUAUCAAGCACUACACUCAUAUCUUAAAUUUGCUUCACGUAUCUUAUAUGUAUCAAAUAAUGAUAUUAUUGGACACUUUAAUAAUACGACGAAGUAUCCAAGUCUUUAAAAACUUAACAAAAGUCCAAUACAUUAUAAGAGACAUAGAAGCAUUCUCCUUUGAUGAACAAAAAAUGGAAAUUGUCCUCAUUAUAGAUGAUUUCAGUGAGAACGAUAAUAUUAUUCCAAUAAUGUUCAAGAAAUAUGUUCAUAAUUUGGAUCACAGAAAUGUAAUUAUGCAUACGUAGAUAUGUGUCUUAUAUUUAUCAUAUCCUAUAUAACUUUAGAAUAAUUGUAUCGCUGUAUUGGAGACAUAUUAUAUAUUUGCAUCAUAUAGGUUAGAACCGAGUUUGGGCACGAGGACCCUCAGGAAUUCGACAAGUACCUUGAGGAACAACUGGGGGAUUACCUAGUUCCCCAGGAUGAUAAGGUUUUUGAAAAGACAAUCGCAGAGGUGCUACCAAAGAGAGUUAUAUGUGUUUGGAAGCCAAGAAAAUCGCCACAGCCUAAGGCAGGGAGUCCUCUGUGGAGUGCA